rnacentral:piRNA from 1 species
UUUCUCCCUUAGUGAAGUAACACUUCAUUG